GGGACGAUAGCUCAGCCUGGGAGAGCACACGGCUGAAGACCGUGGUGAAAAAUGCACAGUUCGGCUGUGGUUUUCCACAAUCGAGGGUUCAAAUCCCUCUCGUCCCA
rnacentral:tRNA from 1 species